UUCGCUCUUGUUUUCUGAUUUUCCAAAGCCAAAAGCCAAUCCUUUGUAGAAUUUGAUCUGUGAGAAGUUUCCGAGAUGAUUUCUUAGUUGUUGUGAAUUUUUAUACACAGUGACGGUGUGCGGAGUGGUAGCGCUCUCCUCGUCCAGGGAAGCAGGAAACAUGACAGUUCUUUCUGUAUAUUCCAUUGCUAGUUAAGGUGGUGGAAAAUGGAUCAGGUUUUUCCCCAUUACGUCUAUCAUCACUGAUCUCAAUAAGCUUCAGCGAGUCACUCCUGAGCUCGUUGCUGAAGUUCUAAAGGCACAAUUUGAUCCAAGGAUCUCAUCUAAGUUCUUCCACUGGGCAGAGGAAACCAGAAUGAAUGACAUUUGUAAAUUGCUAGAGCAGAUGCAGAAAUUGGGAUCUUCCCAAGUUCUUCUCUUUCUUGGUUGAAAAGGGGGACAGAGAACUGAAAGCUUUAUAAGUGUUAUAGACUUGAAAGAAAAAGGAUAUUCCAGUGUUGCUAUUUACAAUAUCCUUAUUGUGGCUCUUCAUAGCAGAGGGGACAUCAAAGAAGCAUUAUCACUCUUCAAUAAGAUGAAAAAAUCAGAUGUUAGAUCUGACUCAUCUACAUAUAGUUAGCUGCAAAAUUGGAGAGAUUGAUGCAGCACUGUUGUUAGUUCGUGAUUGCUUAGCAAGUGUUACAAGUGGGUCCAUGGAGUUCAAGUACAUUCUUACCAUUCUCCAUGCUUGUAAGUCAGGUAAUACUGAUAAGAUGAUAUAAGUACUGAAUGAAAUGGUAUGUGCAA